AUUGAACGCUGGCGGCGUGCCUAACACAUGCAAGUCGAACGAGAAAGGGGCUUCGGCUCCGAGUAGAGUGGCGCACGGGUGAGUAACACGUGGGUAACCUGCCUCUAAGAUUGGGAUAACUCGUCGAAAGAUGGGCUAAUACCGGAUAAGACCACAGUUCCUGCGGGAACAGGGGUCAAAGGUAGCCUCUGCUUGCAAGCUAUCACUUAGAGAUGGGCCUGCGCACCAUUAGCUAGUUGGUAGGGUAACGGCCUACCAAGGCAAAGAUGGUUAGCUGGGCUGAGAGGAUGAUCAGCCACACUGGAACUGAGACACGGUCCAGACUCCUACGGGAGGCAGCAGUGGGGAAUAUUGCGCAAGGGGCGAAAGCUUGACGCAGCAACGCCGCGUGAGUGAUGAAGGCCUUCGGGUCGUAAAGCUCUGUCGGGAGGAACGAAUGCUCCUGAGGUUAACAGCCUCGGGAGGUGACGGUACCUCCAAAGGAAGCACCGGCUAACUCUGUGCCAGCAGCCGCCGCAG
rnacentral:rRNA from 1 species